GGGGUUGUAGCUCAGUGGUAGAGCGCUCGCUUUGCAUGCGAGAGGCCUAGGGUUCAAUCCCCUACUGCUCCA
rfam:Mortierella elongata AG-77 unplaced genomic scaffold K457scaffold_160, whole genome shotgun sequence.